ensembl:snoRNA U3 Small nucleolar RNA U3
GGUGCAGUGCUCUCUUCUGAGCGUGAAGCUGGCUCUAGGUGUCGUUUCCACAACUGGCUAUUUCCACUGAUGAUCGUUCUUCUCCUCCUUUGCGAGAGUAAGGGGAGAAGGACACAGUCUGA